rnacentral:rRNA from 1 species
AUUGAACGCUGGCGGCAGGCUUAACACAUGCAAGUCGAACGGUAACAUAAAGAAGCUUGCUUCUUUGAUGACGAGUGGCGGACGGGUGAGUAAUGCUUGGGAAUCUAGCUUAUGGAGGGGGAUAACUACGGGAAACUGUAGCUAAUACCGCGUAGAAUCGAGAGAUGAAAGUGUGGGACCUUCGGGCCACAUGCCAUAGGAUGAGCCCAAGUGGGAUUAGGUAGUUGGUGAGGUAAAGGCUCACCAAGCCGACGAUCUCUAGCUGGUCUGAGAGGAUGACCAGCCACACUGGGACUGAGACACGGCCCAGACUCCUACGGGAGGCAGCAGUGGGGAAUAUUGCGCAAUGGGGGCAACCCUGACGCAGCCAUGCCGCGUGAAUGAAGAAGGCCUUCGGGUUGUAAAGUUCUUUCGGUAGCGAGGAAGGCAUUUAGUUUAAUAGACUAGGUGAUUGACGUA